rnacentral:rRNA from 1 species
GUUGUAUGGUUAAGUGACUAAGCGUACACGGUGGAUGCCUUGGCAGUCAGAGGCGAUGAAAGACGUAGUAACUUGCGAUAAGCCCAGAUUAGGUAGUAACAACCAUUUGAGUCUGGGAUUUCUGAAUGGGGAAACCCACUUACAUAAGUAAGUAUCAUUAACUGAAUACAUAGGUUAAUGAGGCGAACCGGGGGAACUGAAACAUCUAAGUACCCCGAGGAAAAGAAAUCAACCGAGAUUCCGAAAGUAGCGGCGAGCGAAAUUGGACUAGCCCUUAAGCUUUACACGCGUUAGACGAACGGUCUGGAAAGUCCGACGAUACAGGGUGAUAGUCCCGUAGUUGACGACGUGUGUUCAGUGAAAUCGAGUAGGGCGGGACACGUGAUAUCCUGUCUGAAUAUGGGGGGACCAUCCUCCAAGGCUAAAUACUACUGACUGACCGAUAGUGAACCAGUACCGUGAGGGAAAGGCGAAAAGAACCCCUGUGAGGGGAGUGAAAUAGAACCUGAAACCGUGUACGUACAAGCAGUAGGAGCAGGCUUUGUCCUGUGACUGCGUACCUUUUGUAUAAUGGGUCAGCGACUUAUAUUCAGUGGCAAGGUUAACCAUCUAGGGGAGCCGUAGGGAAACCGAGUCUUAACUGGGCGUUCAGUCUCUGGAUAUAGACCCGAAACCAGGUGAUCUAGCCAUGGGCAGGUUGAAGGUUGAGUAACAUCAACUGGAGGACCGAACCGACUAAUGUUGAAAAAUUAGCGGAUGACUUGUGGCUAGGGGUGAAAGGCCAAUCAAACCUGGAGAUAGCUGGUUCUCCCCGAAAGCUAUUUAGGUAGCGCCUCGGACGAAUACUACUGGGGGUAGAGCACUGUUAAGGCUA